rnacentral:rRNA from 1 species
UACGUAGGGUGCAAGCGUUGUCCGGAAUUAUUGGGCGUAAAGAGCUCGUAGGCGGUCUGUCGCGUCGAAUGUGAAAACCCGGGGCUCAACCCCGGGCCUGCAUUCGAUACGGGCAGGCUAGAGUUCGGUAGGGGAGUCUGGAAUUCCUGGUGUAGCGGUGAAAUGCGCAGAUAUCAGGAGGAACACCGGUGGCGAAGGCGGGACUCUGGACCGAUACUGACGCUGAGGAGCGAAAGCGUGGGGAGCAAACAGG